rnacentral:rRNA from 1 species
UACGUAGGGGGCGAGCGUUGUCCGGAUUUAUUGGGCGUAAAGGGCGUGUAGGCGGUCUGGUAGGUCGGGGGUGAAAACCCGGGGCUCAACCCCGAGGAGUGCCUCCGAUACUGCUGGACUUGAGUGCUCUAGAGGGCAGUGGAAUUGCCGGUGUAGCAGUGAAAUGCGUAGAGAUCGGCAGGAACACCAGUGGCGAAGGCGACUGCCUGGGGAGUAACUGACGCUGAGGCGCGAAAGCUAGGGGAGCGAACAGG